UGUGGGAUUCACACAAUAUAUGCUUAGCGCGAAAGUUGAUAUUGACAGGCGCCAUGAUGUUAUACCGGUAAACAACAUUUUGAACAUGAAUUGAGAACAGGAGUUGAAUCAGUUGAUGCAGAUAUUCUGAGGAGAAUCUUCCAGUCAUUGAAAUAUAUUUCACGAUAGUCGUGCAGAUUCCGAAGUUGUGAUGGUGUGUUGAUAGGCUGUCUUCAACUUGCCAUAUCUGAGAGUUCCAACAUGCAGGCCUGGAUUAAUGUUUUAUCACAACAAAUGGAUGGGACAGUAGAGCUGUUGCGGACAAUAUGUGAUUGUGAUGACCAAGUACUGAACAAGUGGAAGAUUAGAAGAAGGUCCAGAAUUCAAUCAUGUUUUUGAUUCUAAGGUGCAGACAGCAUGGGGAUAGUCCUAUUAUUCUCCCGUUCAUCUAUGAUGGAGAAACUUGUGUAAAUGUUUACAGUGUUCUCCCUAAUAAUUAAGUGCCCACAAGUCUGUAUUAAUUUAUCAGAAUAUGAAGUCCUUCACAGUACUGAUUUUAAAAUUAAUGUAGAUUGUCUCCAGAUUUUUCUGAGGAAAAGUGCAUAGUUUACAUGUGUGAAUUUUGAAUAUAUUUCAUUCUUGUCUGCAAAUGUUGUCGAAACCUGUUGUUAUUGAUGCACAUAGUCAUGUUAUGCAAAUGAUAGACCUCCUUCUUAAUUACAUGUACAUACGAUCAUGUCAACUCCUUUGUCUUAAUUGUAUACACAAUUCUAGCAUUUAUAGCAUCAUUUAUAUAGCACUUGCUAGUUUAAGAAGGAUUUUAUUUUCUAAAAGCUUUCAUUUGACAUGAUUGAUCUAAAACGGACAAAAUUCACAAAUCUAUUUAAAUCACAACCUGACCUUAGGCCAGAAAAGUGCCACUGUGGGUUGAUAUUUUUCUCUUGGAUCUUGAAAGAAAUUGUUUAUGCAGCAGUUUCCAAAUAAAAUGUACUCUCUAACAGUGCACAAUGCAAUAUUUGUAGAUUAGAAGUUGUUACAGUUUCUUUAAGUUUUCUCUCACAUCUUGUUAUAAUUAUAUUUUAUAUUUUUGGUCGGGUUGCACAAUGUGCAAACAUUUUAUAAAAUGGUGAAUGACUGGUGGGCAAGCGACAGUAGUGUCCCUGUAAUAGUACCUACUUUGUGUAGUCAACUCCUUUCACACCUCUCACUUGAUGUUCCUCAAACUUUGUACAGUUGUUAGGGAUACAUUGAAGAUGUGCAUGUGCCUUUUUCAAAGUGAUCAGACAUUUUUUGAAAAAAAUUACAUGUAGUUAAACUUCGUCAUUUUUUAAGCAUUUCUUUAAUCGACAGUAUCUAUUUUGUGUAAUCAACUCCUUGUAUACCUCUAACUUGACAUUCCUCAAACUGUGUACAUUUGUUAUGAACACAUUGAAGAUGUGCAUAUGUGUUUUUGAAAGUGAUCAGACAUUUAAAAUAAAAUAUAUGUAGUUGAACUUAGUCAUUUUUAAGCAUUUCUUGAAUAGAUGGUAACUAUUUUGUGUAAUCAAAUCCUCAUGCACCUCUAACUUGACAUUCCUUAAACUUUGUACAGUUGUUAUGAACACAUUGAAGAUGUGCAUGCAUCUUUUUGAAAAUGAUAAGACUUUUUAAAAAAAAAAUAUGUGUAGUUGAACUUUGUCAUUUUUAUGCAUUUCUUGAAUAGAUGGUACCUAGUUUGUGUGAUCAACUCGUGCACAUCUAAAUUGAUAUUCCUCAAACUUUGUACAGUAGUUAUGGACACAUUGAAGAUGUGCAUGUGUCUAUUUGAAAGUGGUCAGACUUUUUUCAAAAAAAUUACAUUUAGUUGAACUUUGUCAUUUUUUUAAGCAUUUCCUGAAUAGAUGGUACCUAUUUUGUGUGAUCAACUCGUGCACAUCUAAAUUGAUAUUCCUCAAACUUUGUACAGUAGUUAUGGACACAUUGAAGAUGUGCAUGUGUCUAUUUGAAAGUGGUCAGACUUUUUUCAAAAAAAUUACAUUUAGUUGAACUUUGUCAUUUUUUUAAGCAUUUCCUGAAUAGAUGGUACCUAUUUUUUGUAAUCAACUCCUCUUACAGCAUUUAUUUGACAUCCUUCAGACCUUGAACAGCUGUUAUGGAAGCAUUGCAAAUGUGCAUGUGUCUUUUCGGAAGUGAUCAGGCAUUCUUUGAAAAGAUUACAUGUGCAUGGUGAAGUUGAACUUAGUCAUUUUUUAAGCAUGGUACUUUAUGUAACCAACUCAGCUUUUACUUACAUUUUCCAGACCCUGUACAUUAUAUAUGUUUUAAAAACAUUGAAGAUAUGCAUGUAACAUUUUAAAAAUGCUUCUCUCUUUUUUUCUUUUUCUUUUUUCUCUUUUUUGUUGAAAAAUUCUACCUUUAAUUUGUCAUUUUUCCAGUAUGUUUCUACUGUUUUUCCUAUGAUAGAUAACAUAUUUUACAAGAACCCGGUCAUUUCUGUUUUUGAAUAAAAAAAUUUUAAUUAGUAUUUUUUAAUAAGUUAAUUAGUAUGAUAUGUCAUUGUUCUUGAAAUUAUAUUAAUUG